UACGUAGGGUGCGAGCGUUGUCCGGAUUUAUUGGGCGUAAAGAGCUCGUAGGCGGUUUGUCGCGUCGGCCGUGAAAUCUCCACGCUUAACGUGGAGCGUGCGGUCGAUACGGGCAGACUUGAGUUCGGUAGGGGAGACUGGAAUUCCUGGUGUAGCGGUGAAAUGCGCAGAUAUCAGGAGGAACACCGGUGGCGAAGGCGGAUCUCUGGGCCAUUACUGACGCUGAGGAGCGAAAGCGUGGGGAGCGAACAGG
rnacentral:rRNA from 1 species